UUCACCUUCCUCUUCCGCUACCCCUUCCCCUACAUGUCCUGGCCGCGCUUCCUUGGCCGGCGACGUUGUCUUCGCUCGCCAAGGCGGUCGAUUCUGGGAAGCACAACUCCGGCGCCUCUACCCGAACAACAGCAUGUCCCGGCCACGACGCCCUUGGCCCCAUUGCCAAUUGAAGAUCGCCUUCACCGCCCUCUUCGCUCGCCAAGAUGGCCGAGAUAUCUCAAGGCAUUAUCUUCUCGAAAUGGCAUACAAAUGGUAGGUUUCAUGAUCAUUCAGAUAUUCCAGUUACUCGGAUUGCUCAGCACCAAGCCUCCAAAUAAGUGGCUUACCCCUGCAACCUAAACUCACUAUCAGUGAUUGUGUACAUAUUGGGGCCUUUUGCAUUGGUGAAGACAUAUGAUACAGUGACAGAUGACACUAAAUGGGACCUCUACUCCAAAUAAGUGGCUCACCCUGCAACCUGAAUUCACUAUCAGUGGUUGUGUAUAUAUUGGGGCCUUUUGCAUUGGUGAAGACACAUGAUACAAUGACAGAUGACACUAAAUCGGACCUCGGCAAAGUUAUCAGUACUUACAUAUGCAUUGUAUGAUGGCACUGGCCUGUAAGUCAAAAUACUGUCGUUGCAUCUCACAUAUCUAAAUCAGAUCUCCACGGAUGGUGGCUGCGAGUGCCCCAUCACUUGACAUAUCUAUACAGACAAGUGCACCUCCAACUGUGGAACGCCCAGAUUAGAGAAUGUAGUCCUUAAUUUUUAGGCCACAUGGUAUUUAGUUCCUGCCUGCUAUGUGGUAGCUGUCGCUUUCGUCCUACAUCAUAGUAUGCAAUCUUUGUUUUCUUCGGACCAUAUCAUGUCCCUGUGUACUACAUAAGUGUUAAGCUGAUGUACUGUUUACUUCCUGUAAUGUGUUGUUGAUUCAAUGCUCUAUCGCUACAACUUAUUUUUCCUCCCUUCA